rnacentral:tRNA from 1 species
GGGCCGAUAGAUCAGUGGAAGAUCGCCGCCUUCGCAAGGCGGAGGCCGCGGGUUCAAAUCCCGCUCGGUCCACCA